UCCUAAUUCUGAAGCCGACUGGAUGUAUUCAAAGAAAUUUAUGAUGUCAAAGUGUGCUCGAAAGCGUCUUAGUUGCUAUGUCCGUUCUGUUAAGCCUGCUAUUAGGCACUAUGUGUGUGAGAUGAACAAGACUUUUACCAAAGCUGGGCAGAGAAUGUACUUCUCUACUUUGUUCACUGAGAAGCACCUGAUGAAGUUUCUCUCCAGUCCGGUCGAUCGAAUGUGGAUUAAGCUUUCUUCUAGGCGUUGUUUAACCUAUGUUCGACUGAUGAAAGGGGUUGACAAGAGGGCUGCUAUAACACAUAACUGGAGCCGCUUUGCGGAAAGAGCGAAGCUGAAAGAAGGGGAAAUCUGUGUCUUUUCUCUCCGACAUUGCAAGGGGGUGCCAGUGCUCACUGUGCACAAAAUCUGAAGAGGUUUCUGUGAUGCAGUUUGGAAGGAGGAAGAUGGGAAGGUGUUCUGCAAGGACAUGUAGAUAUGUUCUCUAGUAUGAUGGUAUGCCUAUGUUUAGUAAUGUUCAGUCGUUCAAUAGACUGCGGUCGGGUUUGUUGGGUCAAGGGAACCAGGAUGCUUUUCUUUUGGCACUAAUGUAUCCUCUAUGCUAUCUAUGUAAUGCAAUGAUGAUGAAGACUCUAAACUAUUAGUGAGCUAUAUGCUUUUGCCUAACAUUGUAAUUCUGUUUGUCUGAAGUAAUUAAGCGUACGCACAUAGAUAUAGCAUAGUCAGUACAUAGGAUUUCAUAAGAUAGGAUUAAAGUUUUGGCCGCAUGAAAAUACUCCGCACGAAGGAUAAUAAGUUUUGGUAAUGCCUUUGAGCUAGCUUUCAAAAG